rnacentral:lncRNA from 1 species
AUGCUGUCCCGACAGAAAACCAAAAACGAAGUGUCCAAGCCGGCCGAGGUGCAGGGGAAGUACGUGAAGAAGGAGACGUCGCCUCUGCUUCGGAAUCUUAUGCCUUCAUUCAUCCAGCAUGGUCCAAAAAUUCCAGGACGAACUGAUAUCUGUCUUCCAGAUUCAAGCCCUAAUGCCUUUUCAACUUCUGGAGAUGGAGUAGUUUCAAGAAACCAGAGUUUCCUUAGAACUCCAAUUCAAAGAACACCUCAUAAAAUAAUGAGAAGAGAAAGCAACAGAUUAUCUGCACCUUCUUAUCUUGCCAGAAGUCUAGCAGAUGUCCCUAGAGAGUAUGGUUCUUCUCAGUCAUUUGUAACGGAAGUUAGUUUUGCUGUUGAAAAUGGAGACUCUGGUUCCCGAUAUUAUUAUUCAGACAAUUUUGUUGAUGGUCAGAGAAAGCGGCCACUUGGAGAUCGUGCACAUGAAGACUACAGAUAUUAUGAAUACAACCAUGAUCUCUUCCAAAGAAUGCCACAGAAUCAGGGGAGGCAUGCUUCAGGU